rnacentral:tRNA from 1 species
GGAUAUAGCUUAGUGGCACAGCGCCUGCCUGGCAAGUGCAAGGUCCUGAGUUCAAUUCUCAGUACCA